CCGGAGCGGCCUCUCUCUCCCCCUCUCCCUGAUCCAAAUCGACCAGACGUCCCUCCGUCGCCGCCCCAUCCCUCACCCGCCGCGCCGCCGCUACCAUCUCCCCUCCCCUCACCCACCCCCACCUUCUCUCUAGCCAAAUUUCCUCCUCCUCCUCCUCUCUCGAUCCCCCAACCCAAGCACCAGCCCUGCCGCUGACCAACUCCUCUCCCCAACCCCUCCGUUGUCGGCCUCCUCUACUCCAACCCCGCCGCCGUCGGCCUCCUCUACUCCAACCCCAGGCUCUCUCUCAUCGGUGCACCGCUGCCGUCCCCACCCUCUGCCCUUCCCAAGCUGCUCAGACGGCGCCCAGAUCCGCAAUCCCCACCCACAAUCCCAUCCACCCACUCACAAUCCCCAGCAGGCCCCCGAUUCAGAGAAGAGAGCCACCACCACCCCACCGCCAACCCGCUCACAUCCCAUCCAGCCGCGCACCUUCCUUGAGGCGUCAACCUUAUUAUGGCAGAUUUGCGUCAUCAUCAAGGUCCUCAAUGGAGUUGCUUGCGUGUCAGCUUCCUCCGUCCUCUUCUGCUCUGCCCUUGCCCACGCCAUGCCAUGGGGCUUCCUACCCUAGCGCUAGCUAGCAGGAAGGGGGAAGAAGGGCGAUCUAAUCUACCCUAUACAAAACAGGAGGAAGGAGGAAGAGGCCGCCGUGGAGCGAGGUCUUCGAAUCUGACGGAGAUGGCUGCCCCAUCCUCCCAAGGUAACCCUUUCCUCUUUUUCUCCGAUCCAUUCCCCCAUUUGCGUCCGUACGCAUAGCAGUAACACCCCUGUUUCAUACUCUGUCUGCGUCAUACAGAGAUUUGCUCUGCUGCUCUUUGUUCUUCUACCUUACCAUCACUGUUUCAUUAAUUAUGCAUGUGGACGAUGGACGGGAUCUUAUUCCUAAUUGUAGCCUCAUCUCCCAUCCAUGGCAGCCACUGUCUCUAACACUUAUCAUUUUCGAUUCUAAAUGGCUACUCGUGGCAUUCUUUGUCAAAUAAGGGAUUGCCGUCUGUCGCUGACUUGACUCAGUUGGGAUUUGGUCUGUACUUAUCUUUCACCUUGCUGGAUUAUUGUUUCUCCAUGUCAUCCACUUUCUGUUUCAUUGAUGGUGGCCACAUCAUUUAAGCUCAGCUCAGGUCGUUUGCGCACCAAGUUUGUGUGACAAAUGAAAUGCUGCCUUGCGCAGCUCAGCUCCUCCCCCAUCAAAUUCGUCUCCUUACUUCUAACCAUGGCUAGUGUUUUUGCUUUAGAAAAGAAAUUGCUGGUUCAUUCGUAGCAGUCUAGAGUCUGAAAAUGCAUCCCAAGGCUCGCAUCCACGCGGACCCAAUAGCUCCGGAGCUGGACCGGAUCGACUGCCUGCUGGACUCGCUCCUCUUGCUCAUCCUCAACAAGCUGGAGGACGUGCACUUGCUCGGCCGCUGCGCCAGCGUGCCCAGGCGCAUCAACGACCUGGUCCUGCACGUCCACGACGUGUACAUCAAUAUCGACCUGGUCCCAAUGAUUUCUUCGUCAUAAACUGAGCAUAUGAGGUUCCACUUCUUGGUGGAGUGAUGUGCGCGUGCACUUGGCAUUUCUUCUACAACUCAGUGUCUCUCGAGCUACACCGCAGGACUCAACCGUACUGUAUGCCGGGCGUCGUCGUGCUACUAACUGCCAGGCCAUCGACGCCUGCGCCGACCCCGACCAAAGAUCCACCGCCACCCAGGACCCCAAGCUGCUGGACAACUUCGAAGACGCCGAAGCCGACACCAAAGUUUAACUACCACCAACAAAUCAAAUCCUUGGGCUUCAUUCAUGGAUGUCUAGUACUGCUAGUUAAUUCUAGGGCUUAAUUACAAUUAGUCCACAUUUCAUAUUAUUCUUGGAGUACCAUACUGUAGCAGCAGCAUUAGUAAACUGAAUACUCCUUUGACUGCGGAAGCUGAAUAUCACUCCCUCCGUUCAUAAAUAAGUGAUGUGGUUUUAGUUCACUUAUUUAUGACCGGAUGUAAUACUUUGUAGAAUCAUUGUUCAGCCUCUUUGUUUAUGUGGGGUUCUUAUUCAUUUGAUUUCU